AUUGAACGCUGGCGGCAUGCCUUACACAUGCAAGUCGAACGGUAACGGGUCUUCGGAUGCUGACGAGUGGCGAACGGGUGAGUAAUACAUCGGAACGUGCCCGAUCGUGGGGGAUAACGGAGCGAAAGCUUUGCUAAUACCGCAUACGAUCUACGGAUGAAAGCAGGGGACCGCAAGGCCUUGCGCGAACGGAGCGGCCGAUGGCAGAUUAGGUAGUUGGUGGGAUAAAAGCUUACCAAGCCGACGAUCUGUAGCUGGUCUGAGAGGACGACCAGCCACACUGGGACUGAGACACGGCCCAGACUCCUACGGGAGGCAGCAGUGGGGAAUUUUGGACAAUGGGCGAAAGCCUGAUCCAGCCAUGCCGCGUGCAGGAUGAAGGCCUUCGGGUUGUAAACUGCUUUUGUACGGAACGAAAAGACUCUGGUUAAUACCUGGGGUCCAUGACGGUACCGUAAGAAUAAGCACCGGCUAACUACGUGCCAGCAGCCGCAGUAAAAC
rnacentral:rRNA from 1 species